AUGUGGAUGCAGGCGCUGCGGGCGGUGGCUUUACCCGCUCCCCCACAGCGCCGGCCCCUCCUGGGAGCCUUUCCCCGUGGGAUCCAGCUGUCUGCUGCCAUGCCUGGGAAAGCAGAGGGAGACGGCCCAAGGACUCAGGCCCCUGAACCCAGAGUGGAGCACCGGAUACAGUCCCGGGCUUCUGCUUCGGCCCGGCCCGGUCCCGGCCUUAGUAGCCACCUGGGGGUUGAACCCCCAGAGGGACGAUCCGUGAGAGAGAGCAAGAGGCAAGAAGGGCUCGCGAUGCCCGGUGCUCUGCUUCUCUCCCCAAGCAGCUCCAACGGCCAGCGCCGGGCCAGGCAGAAGCCAGGAGGCUUGACCUCCAUUCAGGGCGCCCAGGAGGCCGGGAGGCGUGGUCCCUGGGUCACAGGCUGGAGAGGCCGCCCCGCCUGCAGCCCUGGGGCUUCGGACGCUGGACGCGGCAGGCAGCGCGGAGGUGCGUCCCGCGGCGCCACGGCGGCCGCCCAUGGGGAGUGCGCCUGCGCCCGGCGCUGUGCCCCGGAAGUGGCCCCUUGUGCCCCGGAAGUGGCCCCUUGUGGCCCGCGGCGCUCAGGUAGGAGUCCUCGCGGGUCCCGUCCGCUGCUGCCGGAGAGCCCGCGCGAGCCGUCGGGAGCCGUCCUGGACGCUGCCGGCGGAGCCUGCGGGAGACCCAGCGCCCCCGGGGUCAGGCCGGGCUCAGAGAGGCUGCGGCCCGAGGCUGCCGCGCCGUUUCCCGGGCGCGGUUCUCUUCUUCGGCCCUUCGUGGAAGCAGCGGCCUUCGCGGGCCCCUGUGCCGCCAGCAGACCGGGCCCCCUUGGCGGUACAUCUCCUGCUCAGCCAUCCUCAGAUGGAAGUCUGCUCCUCAUCUGUUCCUGCCCAAAAGCCUGUUCAAGUCUUGAGGAGCCGUCCUCGAUGCUGCUGGCGGAGCCUGAGUGAGACCCAGUGCCUCCGGGGUCAGGCCUGAAUCAGAGACACUGCAGCCCGGGACAGCCGCAUCAGUUACCUUGCCCUUCUGGAAAUGUGUAGGCGCGGUCCUCUUCUUGGGCAGUCUGGAAGUCUACCCCUCGGGCCUCGGCUCCUGUUCCAGAGGAGCAGAAACGCUCUUUGGUGAGUUGGGCGCGAUGGCCUUGCUGUCGUCACGGGGUAGGUGGGGCCUGGGGUGCAGAUAGCAGGCAAGGGGUGUGCAUGUGAGGGGUGGAGGGGAGAGGAGGAGGAGAGAGGCGGCCAAGGGAGAUUCGGGAGGAGAGAGGAAGGGGGGAGAAGGAAAAGGUGGCGUGAAGGUGGGGU
rnacentral:lncRNA from 1 species